AGUGGCGGACGGGUGAUUAAUGUCUGGGAAACUGCCUGAUGGAGGGGGAUAACUACUGGAAACGGUAGCUAAUACCGCAUAACGUCGCAAGACCAAAGAGGGGGACCUUCGGGCCUCUUGCCAUCAGAUGUGCCCAGAUGGGAUUAGCUGGUAGGUGGGGUAACGGCUCACCUAGGCGACGAUCCCUAGCUGGUCUGAGAGGAUGACCAGCCACACUGGAACUGAGACUCGGUCCCCACUCCUACUGGAGGUAUCAUUGGGGAAUAUUUUACAAUGGGCACAAACCUGAUGCUUCCAUGUCGCAUGUUUGA
rnacentral:rRNA from 1 species